UUGACGGGACCGCGACAAGCAGCGGAGCGUGUGGUUUAAUUCGAUGCUACACGAAGAACUUACCAGGGUUUGACAUGCAAGUGGUAGGAAUCUGAAAGGGACCGACCUUCGGGGAGCUUGCACAGGUGCUGCAUGGCUGUCGUCAGCUCGUGUCGUGAGAUGUUCGGUUAAGUCCGCUAACGAGCGCAACCCUCACUGUGUGUUAUAUGUGUCACACGGGACUGCCGGUUUUAAGCCGGAGGAAGGUGGGGAUGACGUCAAGUCAGCAUGGCCUUUAUAUCCUGGGCUACACACACGCUACAAUGGUCGGUACAAUAGGUUGCCAAGCCGCGAGGCGGAGCCAAUCCACAAAGCCGGCCUCAGUUCAGAUUGUAGGCUGCAACUCGCCUGCAUGAAGAUGGAGUUGCUAGUAACCGCAGGUCAGCAAUACUGCGGUGAAUACGUUCCCGGGUCUU
rnacentral:rRNA from 1 species